AUUGAACGCUGGCGGCAGGCCUAACACAUGCAAGUCGAACGAGUGGCGGACGGGUGAGUAAUGUCUGGGAAACUGCCUGAUGGAGGGGGAUAACUACUGGAAACGGUAGCCAAUACCGCAUACCAUCAGAUGUGCCCAGAUGGGAUUAGCUAGUAGGUGGGGUAAUGGCUCACCUAGGCGACGAUCCCUAGCUGGUCUGAGAGGAUGACCGGCCACACUGGAAAUGAGACACGGUCCAGACGCCUACGAGAGGCAGCAGUAGGGAAUAUUGCACAAUGGGCGCAAGCCUGAUGCAGCCAUGCCGCGUGUGUGAAGAAGGCCUUCGGGUUGUAAAGCACUUUCAGCGGGGAGGCGUUACGCGCAGAAGAAGCACCGGCUAACUCCGUGCCAGCAGCCGCGGUAAUAC
rnacentral:rRNA from 1 species